AAAAAAGAAAAAACGAGAAAAGGAAAAAGAGCUGCAUACCUGGCAGGCCUACUGUGUGCAAAGCCCUUGAGUGACAGACACACCCUAUGACCCACAGCACUGUGGCGAUCCCAGGGCCGCAUCAACUCUCUCUCCUUCCCCUCCUCAGGGCCACACCAACUGUGGGGUUCCAGCUAUCACUUUGUGCAAAGGACUCCUAACAUGGGUGUCCUCCGUCUCACCCCAUAAGCCACACUGGCCAAGGCCAGGCAGGCACCACACAUCACAAGACACAUGCUUGGUCACUGGGCUGUGGAACAUACAGAGGCCCCUUGCUCCGGAACACGGACCAUCCGACAGGAGCACGGACACAGGAGUCGGGGCGACGUGGGUGCCUCACAGAAGAGGGAAAAAGCCAGGAGGACGGCACGUGGGCGCAAAGUUCUCAGCUUCGUUAGUCAUCAAGAAAACGCAAACUAAAACCAGGGUAAGUGUGAGGGUUACUAUUGAGUUUCAACUUGACUGGACUAAAGGAUGUGUAACUGUUCCUGGGAGCAUCUUGAGGAAGCUGCCAAAGGAGAUUCACAUUGAGUCAGUGGACGGGGAGAGGCCGACCCACCCUCCAUCUGAGGGGGGGAGGGGGGCAUCAUCUCAUCAGCUGUCAGCACGGCAGAGGAACGCAGAAGCACUGGACUGGCUGAGUCUUCCAGCCUCCAUCUUUCUCCCAUGCUGGAUACUUCCUGCCCUCGAACAUCAGACUCCAAGUGCUUCAGCUUUUGGGUUCUUGGACCUACACCAGUGGUUUGCCAGGGGUUCUUGGGCCUUCGGCCACAGACUGAAAGCUGCACUGUUGGCUUCCCGACUUUUCAGGUUUUGGGACUCGGACUGGCUUCCUGGCUCCUCAGCUUGCCAACGGCCUAUUGUGGGACUUCACCUCAUGAUUGUGUGAGUCAAUACUCCCAAUAAACUCCCCUCCAUAUACACAUCUA
rnacentral:antisense_RNA from 1 species